AACCAACGUAGACUAACAUGCCUUAGGUAUCACUGGGGCAGUAUCUCUUUGAGCACCUCAUUCUCAAGCAUGACUAGGAGG
rnacentral:pre_miRNA from 1 species